UCGUCGAAGCUCUUUCAGUGAGAAGGUGACGCCUGGCUUCGUUUACGUCUUCGUUGGACUCUUCGAUCGUUAGUAUAUUACUGCGAUGCGAUUCUAUGGGCGGCCGGGAACCCGCGCGUCAUUGCGCAUGCGCCGGUACGCGCUACGACCUCGGCCGUCAUGAAAACAAUAACAUAUUUUUGUGCAAAUAGAAAAUACUAAAAUAAUCCACUGGCUGCUCCUUUGUUCCGCUUCGCAUUUCUCUUGUCUCGCUAUCGCCUUCUUUCUCCCUCCACGUCGGUUCUUUCUGCCUUUGUCCAAAUUCAACUUACCACGAAUGCGGCAGCGAGCGCCCUGCAACGCUGACGCCUUACGCAACGUUCUGACGACGCUCAACGACGCAGUGUCAGUUGCUGCUGUGGCUCGGGCUAAAUAAACUUAUGGCAAAUUGUGCGUUGGCGAACUUGAAAAUCACAGGAAUUCAAAUGGACGUUUAGUCGAUACGUGAAAAAUGCAUAAAAAAUUCCCGAUCGAUUAUCAACCUUUCGAAAACAAUGACGAGGUAUUGUAAUCGUGCGAUGACUAAUUGUUUUCACCACUCAUACUCUUAUUAUGUGACUAUCUUUUGUGUUCGAGGAGUCGUACCUAACGUGGGACAAGCUAAUUGUAAGAUGAACAAAAAAAUUCGGUGAAACAUUCGACAAAGGCACCUCUUUGGGUUGACCAUGAACUUAUCAUUCAUAGAGUUGCAAUAAUCUGCCGUUCGAAGAAAACCUACUGCGAGAGACGUUGUCCCGUAAAAGAAUAAAAAAAUAUAAUGGCGUAGCGGAAUUUUGGUGGUACGGUUAAAGCCUGAAAUAAGCAGAGACACUUUCUGCGUUAAACAAAGAGAUAGAUAGCGAGGUGGGUAUAAAAAAUGAGAAUGGAAGCGAAGAAUAUAAAAGAUGAAUUGUACGCAACGGUCCUUCCUAACGAGUUUAUUAAUAGUACCAACUGAUUACCUGGUUAUCAGAUAUGUAUAUCAAUUAAUGAGAAUGCUGACCUAACACUGCAUCUCCAUAACAGUGACUAAUGAAGAUUAACGAGAAACUAAGAAUUAAUUGUCGUUCCUGACGAUUGCACGUCAAGUGGCAAUC